rnacentral:lncRNA from 1 species
ACAUGGUUUGGAUUUGUGUUCCUGCCCAAAUCUCAUGUCGAAUUGUAAUCCUCAGUGUUGGAGGAGGGCCUGGUGGGAGGUGAUUUGAUCGUAGGGGUGGAUAUUCCCCUUGCUGUUCUCAUGAUAGUGAGUUACAUCUGUCUAAUCAUGUGGUCCCAUGAGUGAAAUGCCUAGAAACUAUGAAUCCAGUUAUUUUUGGAAUAUUUCACGCCUUAAAUUUUAACACCACAUUGAGGGAAGGCACUUUUGUUAUUCCCUCCCUCUAUAACCCAAUUUUUUAAACUAAAAUAGUAUUAGUACUAUUGGGGAGUUUUAAAAAAUUCCUUUCAUUUGUUUUCUAUUUUUUAAUCUUUAAUCAGAGUCUAUGUAACAGAAGGAAUCAAAAGGAAAACCUGCAGUAAGAGUAAAUUUCAAAUAUCCAAAUGGGGUUAUCGACUGCUUAAAAAAGGUAUAGGGGUUGGGCACGGGUGGCUCACGCCUAAAAUCCCAGCACUCUGGGAGGCUGAGUCAGAAGGAUCACUUGAACCCAGGAGGUCGAGGCCAGCCUGGGCAACAUGGCGAAACCCUGUCUCUACUAAAAAUACAAAACUUAGCUGGGCGUAGUGGCGUGUGCCUAUAUUCCCAGCUACUUGGGAGGCUGAGGCAGGAGCAACCCUUGAGCUCAGAAGGUCGAGGCUGCAGUGAGCUGUGAUUGUACCACUGGACUCCAGCCUGGGUGACAGAGCAAGAUCCUAUCUCAAUCAAUCAAUCAAUCAAUGUAUUGGAUAGCAAUGUACCAAAAACACUUUUCAAAAUACAAAGCUCUGAUCUGACCUUUUUCAAUUUACACAGCUUAGAUGUCAUUCAAACUUCCUAUUCAAAUGCCCCUAAAAAACAUCCUGUAUUAAAUGUCUAACACUGAUUAUAACUGCACAAAAGAAGAAUGAUAAUCUGAACAAUAAUGCCACCGGUUAAACAUCUUUUUUCAUAAUAUUCGUUUAUCAAAGAACAUUCUGAGGGCCUGAUUCAAAGAAGCAAGACACAAAGCACAAC